rnacentral:rRNA from 1 species
GCCAUCAUUUAAAGAAAGCGUAAUAGCUCACUGGUCGAGUCGGCCUGCGCGGAAGAUGUAACGGGGCUAAACCAUGCACCGAAGCUGCGGCAGCGACACAACGUGUCGUUGGGUAGGGGAGCGUUCUGUAAGCCGUUGAAGGUCCACUGUGAGGUGGGCUGGAGGUAUCAGAAGUGCGAAUGCUGACAUAAGUAACGAUAAAGCGGGUGAAAAACCCGCUCGCCGGAAGACCAAGGGUUCCUGUCCAACGUUAAUCGGGGCAGGGUGAGUCGACCCCUAAGGCGAGGCUGAAAAGCGUAGUCGAUGGGAAACAGGUUAAUAUUCCUGUACGGGCCCGAAUUGCGAUGGGGGGACGGAGAAGGCUAGGCAAGCCGGGCGACGGUCGUCCCGGUUUAAGUGUGUAGGUGGGCUGACCAGGCAAAUCCGGUGAGCCACAACACUGAGGCACGAUGACGAGGCACUACGGUGCUGAAGUUGCUGAUGCCCCGCUUCCAGGAAAAGCCCCUAAGCUUCAGAUUCGGGUCCAUCGUACCCCAAACCGACACAGGUGGUCAGGUAGAGAAUACUCAGGCGCUUGAGAGAACUCGGGUGAAGGAACUAGGCAAAAUGGUGCCGUAACUUCGGGAGAAGGCACGCUGGCGUUAGGUGAAGGAACCUGCUUCCGGAGCCGAGGCCAGUCGCAGAUACCAGCUGGCUGCAACUGUUUAAUAAAAACACAGCACUGUGCAAACACGAAAGUGGACGUAUACGGUGUGACGCCUGCCCGGUGCUGGAAGGUUAAUUGAUGGGGUUAUCGCCUCGGCGAGAAGCUCUUGAUCGAAGCCCCAGUAAACGGCGGC